rnacentral:lncRNA from 1 species
CUGUUCUUGAUUCACGUGUGAAUAAAACGAUGAUUUAUUUUAGCCGCUUUUAAUUGAAAUCAACCAAGAUAUGCUGCCCUCCCCUAACCCCGUGAAUCAAGCACACCACCCUAAAAUUUAACUAAAGUUAAAAAAUAUAUAAAUUAAUUUUUAGAACUUUAAGAGGGUGGACCCAAAACUCAGUUUUUGUUUAUUCCGCUAUUUUGAUUGAUGUUUUUGUAAAGCAGUAAACCUUAAAAACACAUAGAAGCUUUAAGAUGUUCAAGAGAUCAGAGCCGAAGAGCUCUUGCCAACGGAAGUAAUGGACAAGCUAAGUCAGGAA